GAUGAACGCUGGCGGCGUGCCUAAUACAUGCAAGUCGAGCGAACAGAUGAGGAGCUUGCUCCUCUGACGUUAGCGGCGGACGGGUGAGUAACACGUGGAUAACCUACCUAUAAGACUGGGAUAACUUCGGGAAACCGGAGCUAAUACCGGAUAAUAUAUUGAACCGCAUGGUUCAAUAGUGAAAGACGGUUUUGCUGUCACUUAUAGAUGGAUCCGCGCCGCAUUAGCUAGUUGGUAAGGUAACGGCUUACCAAGGCGACGAUGCGUAGCCGACCUGAGAGGGGGUACGGGCCCACCGGGACAGAGGCACGGGGCAGACUCCUACGGGGGGGAGGAGGAGGGAAACUUCCGCAAUGGGCGGAAGGCUGACGGAGCAACGCCGCGUGAGUGAUGAAGGUCUUCGGAUCGUAAAACUCUGUUAUUAGGGAAGAACAAAUGUGUAAGUAACUAUACACGUCUUGACGGUACCUAAUCAGAAAGCCACGGCUAACUACGUG
rnacentral:rRNA from 1 species